GACGAACGCUGGCGGCGUGCUUAACACAUGCAAGUCGAACGGUGAAGCCCUUCGGGGUGGAUCAGUGGCGAACGGGUGAGUAACACGUGAGCAAUCUGCCCUUGACUCUGGGAUAACUUCGGGAAACCGGAGCUAAUACCGGAUAUGACGCACGGAGGCAUCUUCUGUGUGUGGAAAGAUUUAUCGGUCAGGGAUGAGCUCGCGGCCUAUCAGCUUGUUGGUGGGGAAUGGCCUACCAAGGCGACGACGGGUAGCCGGCCUGAGAGGGCGACCGGCCACACUGGGACUGAGACACGGCCCAGACUCCUACGGGAGGCAGCAGUGGGGAAUAUUGCGCAAUGGGCGAAAGCCUGACGCAGCGACGCCGCGUGAGGGAUGAAGGCCUCGGUCGUAA
rnacentral:rRNA from 1 species